UAGCUAGUUGGUGGGGUAAGGGCCUACCAAGGCGACGAUCGGUAGCUGGUCUGAGAGGAUGACCAGCCACACUGGAACUGAGACACGGUCCAGACUCCUACGGGAGGCAGCAGUGGGGGAUAUUGGACAAUGGGGGCAACCCUGAUCCAGCAAUGCCGCGUGUGUGAAGAAGGCCUGAGGGUUGUAAAGCACUUUCAGUGGGGAGGAGGGUUGAUAGGUUAAGAGCUAAUUAACUGGACGUUACCCACAGAAGAAGCACCGGCUAACUCCGUGCCAGCAGCCGCGGUAAUACGGAGGGUGCGAGCGUUAAUCGGAAUUACUGGGCGUAAAGGGUGCGUAGGUGGUUGAUUAAGUUAUCUGUGAAAUUCCUGGGCUUAACCUGGGACGGUCAGAUAAUACUGGUUGACUCGAGUAUGGGAGAGGGUAGUGGAAUUUCCGGUGUAGCGGUGAAAUGCGUAGAGAUCGGAAGGAACACCAGUGGCGAAGGCGGCUACCUGGCCUAAUACUGACACUGAGGCACGAAAGCGUGGGGAGCAAACAGGAUUAGAUACCCUGGUAGUCCACGCUGUAAACGAUGUCAACUAGCUGUUGGUUAUAUGAAAAUAAUUAGUGGCGC
rnacentral:rRNA from 1 species